CUCACUCAGUCUCAGAGCACCAAUCAAAGCUCUGCUUCACAACAAACAUCCAACCAGAAUGAAACUCAGGUUUACUCCUCUCUUCUUCAUGGUGAUCUUUCAGUCUAUGAAUCAAUCAGAGGCUCUGGAAACACUGGAAGUGCAGAUGAAUACAACAACGUCACAUCUGGAUUUCAGCUUGAAGGUCUUGAUAAAAGGAGUCCAUAAAAAGAUUAUUUCAACAAAACUCAAGACUCACGAACAACAUGAGCAACG